rnacentral:rRNA from 2 species
GGCUCUUGGGUCGUAAACCUCUUUUCUCAGGGAAGAACACAAUGACGGUACCUGAGGAAUAAGCAUCGGCUAACUCCGUGCCAGCAGCCGCGGUAAUACGGAGGAUGCAAGCGUUAUCCGGAAUGAUUGGGCGUAAAGCGUCCGCAGGUGGCAAUGUAAGUCUGCUGUUAAAGAGUCUAGCUCAACUAGAUAAGAGCAGUGGAAACUACAUAGCUAGAGUACGUUCGGGGCAGAGGGAAUUCCUGGUGUAGCGGUGAAAUGCGUAGAGAUCAGGAAGAACACCGGUGGCGAAGGCGCUCUGCUAGGCCGUAACUGACACUGAGGGACGAAAGCUAGGGGAGCGAAUGGGAUUAGAUACCCCAGUAGUCCUAGCCGUAAACGAUGGAUACUAGGCGUGGCUUGUAUCGACCCGAGCCGUGCCGUAGCUAACGCGUUAAGUAUCCCGCCUGGGGAGUACGCCGGCAACGGUGAAACUCAAAGGAAUUGACGGGGGCCCGCACAAGCGGUGGAGUAUGUGGUUUAAUUCGAUGCAACGCGAAGAACCUUACCAAGGCUUGACAUGUCGCGAAUCCUGGUGAAAGCUGGGAGUGCCUUCGGGAGCGCGAACACAGGUGGUGCAUGGCUGUCGUCAGCUCGUGUCGUGAGAUGUUGGGUUAAGUCCCGCAACGAGCGCAACCCUCGUUUUUAGUUGCCAGCAUUAAGUUGGGCACUCUAGAGAGACUGCCGGUGACAAACCGGAGGAAGGUGGGGAUGACGUCAAGUCAGCAUGCCCCUUACGCCUUGGGCUACACACGUACUACAAUGCUCCGGACAGAGGGCAGCAAGCAUGCGAAUGCAAGCAAAUCCCGGAAACCGGAGCUCAGUUCAGAUCGCAGGCUGCAACUCGCCUGCGUGAAGGAGGAAUCGCUAGUAAU